UAAAAAAUCUAGCAAAUUGUGCUUCUAUAAAUUAGUACUAUCCGGAAGAAAAUUCACGCUUAAAAAAAGAGUCUGCUGUGCCGAUAUUACAGGCAAAAGAUUCGUUUUAUAAAUAUGUAUUAUACAUCAGCAUUUUUAAAUUCACGCCUUAAUGUACAGACACAAGAAAGUACAGUUAAUUGUUCCCAGCCGUAUGAAAACUCUGAAAGGGAAGUUAAGAUUGGCGCGUAUUAACCGUACGGGGUGCGAAAAUAUGACGGUGUGCACCGCGCACAAGUUUGCACGGUACAAUUGCGUGGGCACUUGAGGUGGAUAAGUUCAUAUGUAUACAUAUACACGACCAGUGUGUAAUAGGGCGGACAUUUAUUUAUUUACUCGGAACGUUGACAAUUCCGGAGUUUUAACCGACCAAGUAAGUACAAUGUAUAAGGUACAAUAGGCAUGCGUAUAUUUUUUAAUACUUUCAUAACCUCAAAAAAAUGCCUGUUAACAUGCCGUGACCGAGUAAAAAUACUAACAGGACAAUAUACUGAUAUAUUAUCACGAUAUCCAAGUCAAUGUCCUCCGAACCUAAAGUCUAUAAAUUAUGUUUUAAUCAACCUGUCAAUAUGUUAUCGUUAACCAACAGUGCGCAACAACCAUUACUUCUUCUUUUUCUUUCAUAAAUAUCAUAUACAGCACUCUGUCGAUGAAUUUAGCCAGCGCAUUAGCAUCGUGCUUGUUUGACUAGAAUGAAAUUUUUGAUGCACACCUUACGCUUGACUGACUUGAUAUCUGAUGUCUCGCAGGAAUAUUUCAGAGAUCCUAUGCAAGGCUAGUAUUCACAGGUACGAGGAAAUGAGAAGCUGCGUGCAUUCUUGUAACGUGAUGCGUAGUACGAGUCAUCGAGAAGGUUUCCAACACGUUUCUACGUGUCUAGCCGCGCAUGAAAAACAAUCGCCGUGUGAAUGGCCGAACGGCUAUCGUCUUUUAGUUAGUUGAACCCAUUAAAACCAGUUUUCCAUCUUAUCGUAUCUUUUUACUCACAUGGCACGGUCGAUUAGGCAAAUCCACAGGUCUCUGAACUUUGAAUGAAACUGAAAAUUAAGAACCGCCUAAUACUUUUUUUUACAGUAUAUAUUGUAUUACCAGCACGCGAUGCUUCAUAACACUAGGCUACGUACACAAUUGAUACUUAAGAAAAGUUACUGUACCGUGUAUUAAAGAUUCAUUUUUUUAUUUUCAUAUUCAAGAUUAUAAUUAUACUCUACGUGGCUAUGUAUGAUAAUGAAAUUUUAAGAAUUUCGUUUUCUCUGAUUAACAAAAGAUUUAUGAAACCGAAGUUGAUAUCACAAACGGAAGUAUUGCGUGUUGAGUGAAGUUUAUCGUGCCGGAGCAGACAUAAGUAUCCACAGAUAGUCACGUAUUCGCAGUACUAUUCAUGUAGAUAGACGGUGCUAUCCUUUGCCCACAGCAAGUACAUAACGACUGUGAACUCGUAGAUAAAAGAAGGAAGCAUUCUUGAAAGAUGGGAAACGAUUCAAAGUCUAAAGGGAAGUGAAGGAAAGAAAGUAUUCUUGGUAAAUGAUAAAAAUCAAGAUUGAAGGAAGUGCGACAGGCAGAUUGCCAAAAGACAAAUCGUAAGUUGCCAAUAGGAACCCGAAGAUGGUUAUUCCAAGAAAUUCACAGACAGAUCAUGGCAGCUGAAUUUUCGUGCGGUAGUUUAAGAACGAGGUAAAGAAAAAGAUAAAAAAAAAACUGGAUAAAAGAAAAGCAGGUACAGUAGGCUACAAUACGCUUUAUUUUUAUUAAACGGCUCUUACGUCACGGACCAUCGAGUAUCCAAGUAUCGAAACGUUCUUUCGAAUUCUCUGAAUGAAGUUAUAAAAUUAAAUUUUGAGGCUUCAGAACGUACCGGACGUUCGGUUGAAAAUGAUUAGUUCAAUUACCGGAAAUGAAUAAAAAAAAUUGAAUAAAGACCGAAAUCAACUAUUCGAUUUAAUGAAUUUCUCCCUUGUUAGUUUAUGCCAAACUGUUUCGUACCUGUACCGUACCGUUGUACUCGUACGCGGACGUGGAUUGCAAGGGAGAGUCGUGGCUCUUCUCACCGGUCAGGGAAUUCAUUUCUAGGAUAUUUCCUACGCGGAACUUUUCUACGAACUCUGGCACUGAAAUGCACUAUGGAAGAGAAUACGAUGGCUUCCUCGUCUGCUUUUUAUUCUAGGUAUACGUAAGAGCCCUCUGUGCACGCGGGUUGCUCCUGACUCUCAUGUGAAUUCAAGAUUCUUCGGUCGCAAUUACCCCAUAAUUAUUAUUGCACCAACGGCGUCAGCAAGUUAAAUACGAUUCAGGGAUUGUCAGUGAGUUUUGUGCCUUCAGCCUCAGUCAUUCCAGGAUCCAUAAACACUGGCAGCGAUGCACGUCGCCAGCUAACGGACAACGGGGCUACGGUUAAAUACCGAAAUUUAUUACACUGCCACGUUGACUCCUUGGUCUCACAUCCCGGGAUACGACGCUACAAUGAUAUCACAGGACUCUGACUUAUGGGAUAAAGUCCAUUGGGAUCAGAGAAGAGGAAAGUUAUUUCAACCGGGAUAUAUACCCAGGAGGAAGAGUCGAUUUCGUUGAAGUUCCUUCAGGAAGGGUCUACUGGAUAUACCUGGAGAAGAGCUGGAGAUUCGUAAAUCCUACGUGAAAUGAUGAUGUUGCAGCGAGUACUUGCUAACGCGAUUACAAUGGCUCACUUGCGUCCUGGGACCCGACUGCUCGUGAAUGUCUCGACUGCUUGGAAAACAGCUGAAAUAUAACGUUGAUUAAUGACGCCUUGACAUGCACGGCUCUUGCCUCGAGGGAUGCAACAAGUUCUGCAUGCGAGCCCUUCGUACUCCCAGCAUCCACCAACCUAACCAACCAUAGUAACGGUACACGCGACUCCCACUGCAUAUAAGACGGCGAUGUCUUACACAGAUCAUAAGAGCCCGGGCACCAAGGACCUGGCUUGGCGUCCCGUCCGGCUGGAUAUUUACUUGUUGCACGUUUUUCCACGUCUAACUUAGCUCCUCGGAAAUCCAGUUAGUCUGGUCUACCGGACUUUUUCAUUCUUGAGCAAUGAGAUUUGGUCCACGUGAGAAAAUCAUACGUGUCGCGGUUUAACGUUGCUUCGAGGAUACAGCUACUGUGCCACGAGGAUUUCUAUCGAUUCGCGUUAUUACUACCAUUUUGUACGUUGCGUGGCUGUCGUAAUUCCUGGCCAGUGCCAUUUUCCAAUUUCUUUCUACGCUCGUUGACUUCUUGACCCUGCAAGAGAAGCAUGAGAAAAAUGACUGCGUGAAGUAUUACAGUUAGUCUCGAGCGUCCGUAUUUAUAUACAUCCUGUGGAUUGGUAUUAAUGAUAAUUUAAUGAUUUGUAUUCGAUUAAUGUCUUAAGGUCAGUUUCUACUUACAAGUUAGAUCGACCAAGAUCGUCAUUUGAUACACGCAGUAAGGCCUAGUCCGGUGCAGUAGCGAAUUUUUAAAGAUAGAUUCACCUUGGUACAUUUAAUAUACACGACAGCGUCUAAUGGUAGAAUGUUAUUAACAUUCUUGUAACUUUUAUACAGUCAUCCAGUACUAUUUCAUUGAUACUAAUGAUACGCGGACUUAGAUAAGUAAUAUCUCGGAUGGUAAUUAGAGACUCAGCUGCUGUGAAUAUGAAUCCGUCACUGCCGUCGGUAAUGCCAAACUCACGGAAGAGGCCACUGUAGCAGGUAUAAUUAACCGAGAUCAAAAUUUUAAUUUAUUUCCUACUAAAUGUACCCUGCUAUCUCUGUACAGGGUUAUUCAGUAGAAACGCACCACCUGAAGUUAGCCCGUCCAUUUAAUUUCUAUGGUAGAACCAUAUUCAGGUGGUGCGUUUUUACUGAAUAACUCUAUGCGUAAUGUACAUCAGUACAGCACGCUAGUGCUGGUACUAAUAGCGUUGCCGAAUAUUAACCAGGAUAAUUCACGUAUCUGUAUGCCAUAUUGAACAACUGAGGUGCCAAUUGUUAUUGUUA